GACGAACGCUGGCGGCGUGCCUAAUACAUGCAAGUAGAACGCACAGUUUAUACCGUAGCUUGCUACACCAUAGACUGUGAGUUGCGAACGGGUGAGUAACGCGUAGGUAACCUGCCUGGUAGCGGGGGAUAACUAUUGGAAACGAUAGCUAAUACCGCAUAAUAUUAAUUAUUGCAUGAUAAUUAAUUGAAAGGUGCAAUUGCACCACUACCAGAUGGACCUGCGUUGUAUUAGCUAGUAGGUGAGGUAACGGCUCACCUAGGCGACGAUACAUAGCCGACCUGAGAGGGUGAUCGGCCACACUGGGACUGAGACACGGCCCAGACUCCUACAGGAGGCAGCAGUAGGGAAUCUUCGGCAAUGGACGAAAGUCUGACCGAGCAACGCCGCGUGAGUGAAGAAGGUUUUCGGAUCGUAAAGCUCUGUUGUAAGAGAAGAACGGGUGUGAGAGUGGAAAGUUCACACUGUGACGGUAUCUGACCAGAAAGGGACGGCUAACUACGUG
rnacentral:rRNA from 1 species